rnacentral:rRNA from 1 species
GACGAACGCUGGCGGCGUGCUUAACACAUGCAAGUCGAACGGUAAGGCCCUUCGGGGUACACGAGUGGCGAACGGGUGAGUAACACGUGGGUGAUCUGCCCUGCACUUCGGGAUAAGCCUGGGAAACUGGGUCUAAUACCGGAUAGGACCCUGGGAUGCAUGUCCUGGGGUGGAAAGCUUUUGCGGUGUGGGAUGGGCCCGCGGCCUAUCAGCUCGGUGGUGGGGUGAUGGCCUACCAAGGCGACGACGGGUAGCCGGCCUGGGAGGGUGACCGGCAACACUGGGACUGAGAUACGGGCCAGACUCCUACGGGAGGCAGCAGGGGGGAAUAUUGCACAAUGGGCGCAAGCCUGAUGCAGCGACGCCGCGUGAGGGAUGACGGCCUUCGGGUUGUAAACCUCUUUCAGCACCGACGAAGCGCAAGUGACGGUAGGUGCAGAAGAAGGACCGGCCAACUACGUGCCAGCCGCCGCGGUAA